CUUUUAAUUUCACCUCCUUGCCGAUUUGCAGAAUCUAAGACAAUAGGAGCAAUUGUUUUAUGUACAUGUAACAAAAAAAAAAUGUGUAUAAAUACAAUUACCUUAGCAUGUGAUUUCGAGGAAGUAUUUGAACAAGCUGGCCUUGCAGCUGAGGCAGACACUGUUGAAAUGCUUGCUGAGCAACUCCAGCUUGGGUGAGUCAUUAACCUUUUUAGACUUUGCCUGCAGGCUUGAGGAGGACCUCAUUGGAACAAUGCUCUACAGUCUUCUCAAAGAAAUCAUUAUUGUGGAUGUUGGAAAUUUUACUUUAUGCUAGGAGGUGCAGAUCAUAUGGUUAAAUGUAAAAGCCACUCAGAGUAGGAAAGGAAUGACCUAGAUACUUUUUCAUAGCGUGUUAGUUAUUCUGUUUAAAUCAGAAGUGGAAACAUUUAGAUAUUCCAGAUGUAAUUUGAUUUUUUCUCUUAGUCAUAAAUGUACAUUAGGGAUAUAGCAGUGAACAGAAACAACAUCCCUACUCUCAUGAACCUAUAAAUAAAUAUAUAACAUGUCAGGAUACAAACAUCUUCUUUAUUUUAUGUAUCUAAAAUAUCCAAUUUUAUUCAAUGGUAUUAUUGUCUUUUCCAUUCUUUAAAAACUAAAUGAAUUUAAAUAUUCUGAAAAUGUAUGUCAUUGUCUAUGAAAAACCUCUAAUUAUAAAUCUAUUUAAUGUUUUUAGCCUUUAUAUUUAGCAUUAUUCUUCCAAAUAUGUUCUCAUUGUUACUAACUAGCCAGUUUUAUGACAUAGGUAAGUAGUAUUAAUAGACAUGCUUGAGAGGUCAUUGUUAUUUAUAGACAUUUACUGAGAAGAUAUUGCUAAGCAGUUAUGUAAUACAAGGGUUAAAUGUAUGUGUGUUUUUACAUAUGUGUGUAUGUAUAUAUGUAUAAACAGAGUAAGGUCCAAGUUAAUAAAAUUCACUUGUCCUGUAUACAAUGAUAAUUUGAAUAUAUAAAUAUGUAUAUGCAUGUAUUCAAAUAUAUACAAUAUAUUAUAUAUUCAAAUUAUGGUAUAUUGUAUGUAUGGUAUAUGUUCUAUUUUAUCAACUUAGACCUAACUUUGUCAAAUAUAUAGUUCUCCAGAUACUGAUAAGUAUGAUUUAUCUUUACACUGUAUAUGUAUAUUUAUUAUUUGCUAAGCAAAUACUAUAAAUACUUUAAAAGAGUAAACUAUUUUAAAUGUAAACUUCCAUUUAUAUUUGAAAAAACCUAAGCUUCAACUGACCAUUCUUUGCAAUCCUGUGUCAUAAAAACUCAACAGAAAUAAGUCUAAUAUAUACUGUAUUAGAUUAUGAAUUCAUAGUCUUCUUGUCCUCAUUUGUUUAAAUUAGUAAGUCUUUAUAAUAUAAAUAUUUUUAGGCCAAGUGAUGAUCUAUUUCUAUAAAAUUCUCUUGCUUAGAUUUCUCUGGAUCUAAAUAUAGUUCAUUUCUCCAUUUUAAACUGCUGAGAGCAAGUUAUCAAUCACAACAGUGGUUCUUGGGUGUUCUUUUUGUUAACUCUGUCAUUGAAAAGUUAUGUGGAUAAUAUCCAAACUUCAAUUUUAUUCCUUAAAUUAGCAACAAACAAAAAUGAAAUUUUAAAAAUACCAUUUAUAGUAGCAACAAAAACUAUCAAAUACCCCCAAGGAUAAAUCUAACAAAAGACAUGUAAGACCUCGACACUGGAAAUUAAAAAUUAUUGAGAGAAAUUAAAGAAGAUUUGAAUAAAAUGGAAUGAUAUACUAUGGUCAUGGAGAACAAGACUCAAAUGGUAAAGUGGCUAGUUCUUUUGAUCAAAUACAUUCAAUAUAGUCCCAAACAAAAUCUGAGCGUGUGUGUGUGUGUGUGUGUGUGUGUGUGUGUGUGUGUGUGUUUGGAAAUUGAGAAAUUCUAAAACUUAUAAUUUAAAUGGCAAAAGGAUAGCCAAGGUAGUCCUGCAGAAAAGAUGGAGAAAUUACCCUACCACAAAUCAAGAUCUAUCAUAAAGUCAUAGUAACUAAAGUAGUGUGCUAUUUGUGUAGCAACAAAUACAGACAAUGGAUGGACAAACAGCAGAGAGACACCAUAAUGAGAAAAUGAUAUAGAUUACAUUAGGGAAAAGAUGGUCUUUUUUAAUAAGCAUUAUUGGGUUAAUUUAAUACCCUUAUUGAAAAAUAUGAAUUUUUAGCCUCUACCUCACACCAUGCAUAAAAAUCAAUUCCAGAUGGAUUGUAGAUCUCAAUAUGAAAGAUAAGACAAUUAAGCUUCUAGGGGAAAAAACAUCUUUAUGACCUUGGAGUGGGCAAAAUUCCUUUAAAAACUCACAAGACAACACUAGUGGAAAGAAAAAAAUAAUAUCAAGAAUUUCUAUUCAUCAAAAAUCAUCAAGAAAAUGAAAAGAUAGGGACACCUGGGUGCCUCAGUCAGUUAAGUAUCCAACUUCGGCUCAGGUCAAGAUCCCAUGGUUCAUGAGUUCGAGCCCCAUGUCAGGCUCUAUGCUGACAACUCAGAGCCUGGAGCCUGCUUCAGAUUCUGUGUCUCUCUCUGUCCCUCCCCUGCUCCAGCUCUGUCUUUCUCUAAAAUAAAAAUAAACCUUAAAAAAAUUUUUAAAGAAAAGAAAAUGAAAAUAUAAUGUAUAGAGAAUAUAUUUGCAACAAAAAUACCAAACAACUUGUAUCCACCCAGAAUAUAUAAAGAAUUCCUACAAAUUAAUAUAGCAGACAACCUACCAGAAAAAAUGGGCUAAGACUUGAACAAAAAGAGGAUAUGCAAAUGAGAAAUUAACAUAAAAAGUUGCCCAGCCUCAUUAGUUAUCAAGUAAAUGCACAUUGAGAUCACAGCUCAGUGCCAAGACACAACUACUAAUAUGGGUAAAAUUAAAAAGAAAAAAGUGUUGGCAAGGAUGUGGAUAAACACUACAAAUGGAAGCAUUCGCUGGGACCCAACCACUUAGAAGACUGGUGGUAUCUACUAAAGCUAGAUAUAUCCAUAUUCUAUGUCCCAGCUCUUGUCUUCUAUCCCACAGAAAUCUGUAGAAUGCUCUCCAAAAGAAAUGACCUAGGAAUGCUCAUAGCAGUAUAAUUUGUAAUAGCCCAACUGGGAACUACACGGAUACCCACUAACAGUAGGAUUUAUAAAUUAUACAUUCAUACAACCAAAUACCACACAGCACUGAGAAUGAACAAUGUACAAUUCACAUGAAAUUAUCACUGAAUUUCAAAACAUAAAACUGAAUGAAAUAAGCCAGACACAGAAAAAGGGUAUACUUUAUGUUUCUAUUUAUAUUAAUUUCAAACACAGGCAAAUCUGAUCUAUAUAUAUGAUGGUAGAAGGCCGAAUAUGGUUACCUUGCAGGGUGGGAAACCAGUGACUGUAGUUGGGCAUGAAGGACAGGACUUCUGGGAUGCUGGUAAUAUGUUGAUUCUUGGUCUAAGUACUGGUUACACAAGUGUGUCACUUCAUGAAAUGUCUUCAAACUGAAAUUUAUCUUUGCAAUAUUCUGAUUAUGUAUUAUACUUUAAUAAGUUUUUUAACUAAAUUUUUAAAAUUAAGGCUUUAUCAUCUGAUCUUGAAUUAGACAGGUAGAACUCUUAGUCAAGCAGUCACUAAGAGAAAUUCUUCCUCCCAGAGAAUCUUUCUCUCAAAACACAGUAACAGCAUACAUCUUGAGGAACAUCCUCUGAAACUGGCACAAACUGUUCAACCAUCCAUAAGUUCACACAGCAAACUGACUUUUAAACAAACAUCCUAUUUUCUUUAAGAUACUGUCCUAUUUCACAAAACACCAUUCUUCUCAAAAAUCUCACUGUACUGGGCGCCAGGAUGGCUCAGGUGGUUAAGCAUCCAACUUCGGCUCAGGUCAUGACUUCACCAUCCGUGAGUUUGAACCCUACAUCACACUCUGUGCUGACAGCUCAGAGCCUGGAGCCUGCUUUGGAUUCUGUGUCCCCCUCUCUCUCUGCCCCUCCCCUGCUUGCUCUCUCUCUCUCUCUCUUUCUCAAAAAUAAACAAACAUUAAAAAAAAUUUUUUUUAAAUCUUACCAUACCAACUCAGUCUAGUCACCAAAUUACUGAAAGAUCAGAGUGAAAUGGCUAAUGUUGAGAAGCAUUCAUUCCGCUCUUGCUAUGUUGCUACACCACUUCAGAUACAUGUUUCAGGGAAGGACAAGGAAUCAAAAAGUUAACUGACUUGCACACGGUUACACAGGUGUCAGCAGCCACUCAAGAACUGAAGGAGACAUAGCCAGCUGGACUCUGCAAUGCCUUAAAGAAUUUCCACAGCCAAGUAAUACAGGAUUGGGUUAGAAACAUAAGCCCUCUACCACUCAGAGUCAAAAAUGUAAACAAGUAGUAAAUUUAGCAUUCUUACUUUUCGGGUUGAGAAUGGUUAUUGUGAUUGAAUUUGUGUCUUUUCUUUCAACAAAAGAAUGUUUUGUGGUUGUUAAAAUUGUCUUUUAAAAUUUAGUUUUUAAGAAAUGACUUCAACUUCAAAACCAGUUUAAGGAUGCUUUUAUAUUCAGCCAAAACUAAAAAACCUUGACUCCUUCAGAUAUCAAGACACAUGUACCAACAAGCUCCAUUUAAUGAUUCUCAUCUGGGAACAGUGCAGCCCCAUAAGGGUGUUUGGAAAUGGUUGUAGGCACUUUGGGUUGUCACAAUAACUUGGAAAUGACACAUAUAAGGCUUGGGAUAGUCCCAAACAACAAAAAAUAAUAAUGUUGGCUUCAGUAAAGUAGUUCCCUUUCCCCGAAAAUAAAUUCACAAAUUCUUACAGAUAAUUUACUUUUGAAUUUUAUUUUUGAAUGAUACACUUUAGAACCUCCAGUUUAACACACCUCUGUAGUAUACUACCUAGGAGCCUGCAUGUCUGAAAGAGAGAAAUAUGAUGAUCUGGAUGAUCUUAAAAAUAAUCAUAAUUAAAGCAUAAAAAUUGCCUCCAGACUGACCAGAAAAAUACCCUAUGAUCUUAGAGUGACUGCCAAACAUUCUGUAAUGUUGAGUUCAUCAAAAUAUUUGUCACCAAAACACCAAGUAUGGCCUUAACGUGCUUCUUUUUUGACUCAAAGAGAAAAAUGCAUCCUAUUUUAACCUCCAAGUCUCAGGGUAAGUUAUUUCUGCGGUUUGGUAAUGCCCAUUACUUGAGAAUCUGCCAGCCUCCAGGACUUCACUGUGUAAUUCAGUCACUUGGAAAGCUUUGAAUUUCUAGAUGCUUUCAACACCUAGGUUUAGUAAAUCCAAAAAAAGGGGGGGGGGCAACAUGUCUUUAAAACCACCUUUAAAUUUUAAAAUAAACUGGUUUUAGUGCUGCUAGCCUAGUCAUGUGAGUUUGCUGAAGAGGCCAAGUCUCCACCUUACUUCCUGUGUGCUCUGAUUACACAUUGUUUGUACUGUGCAGUCACUGCAGUUAUGCUGGGCCACUUCCAUCUCAUCCCACUCCACAAAUACUCAUUCGGCUCUAGCAUAAGCUAGUGCAGCGAUGGCACUGCACAACAGUGGGCAGCAAUUAGAUAUUCCCACCUUCAAGAAACUUCUAGUUUUGUGGGGACUCACCUGCUGCACGUGCUGCAAAGUCUUAUGCUUUAGUGAACCUUUUUUAGGUUCUACAGAAUCCAAUCCAGUGCACUCAGUAGAUUCUGAUUAGAUUUUUAUUGACUUUUCUUUUUGUAUGCACAGCUAUAAUAAGACAGUGCUGCGCCAGUUCUGGUGAUAAUUAUCAUCAUGAUAACCACCAAUCCUCAGUAAAGAUUCUCUGUGUUCCAGAAGCCAUGUUAGGGGACAAAAGUAAAUACCUAGUGUCCUUAUUAUGCACCAGGCACUGUUUUAAACCUUUUGCUCAUAUUAACUGAUUUAAUUUUCACAAUUAAAUAAUAGGCAUGAAUAUUAUUUUUCAAAUGAGGAAUCUGAAGUGAGAGAAAUGAAGAAAAGUGCCCAAGUUGUGCUAACAACCCUUAGGACUGAGAUUCCAACCUAAGCAGCAUGGCGCCAGAGAUCUGCUCCUGCACAUUUCGUGAUAUGCACAAGUACCUUCUACUAUGUUAAGUAUUAUUGUCUCAUUUUUUCCCAGGGGAGGAAAAUGAGGUUGAAGGAGUUAAGAAAAUGUGGGGUUGUUGACAAAUAUUUCAGUUCUCCUCCUCUUCUGGCAUAUUAAGAAGCUUGCACUUCUCCAUAUCUUCUUAGUUUAGGCGUGACCUGCUUUGGUCAGUGAAAUGUGAACAUAUUUGUAUACAAUUUGCUAUGUUCCUUUCCCCAUGUGUUAGUGAAACCCUUGUCAAAAUGGAACUUUUGUCACCUGAAUCCUUGAGUGACUAUGCUCGACAGUGGCCCUCUGCUGGACGAGCAUUGGACAUACAAAGGAAAUUUUUGUCCUGGCAAGCUCUUGAGAUUCAGGUUGAGGAUAGAGAAGGAGGUUGUUUGUAGCCAUAAUAUAAUUUAUCCUAAACUUAAUAGUUUACCUAAUAACUUGCUCAAACUCCUAUAGCCUGUUGGUGCCAGAUAUAUGUCUCAAACCCAGGUCUCUCUGACCCAAUAGGUCAUUUUUUUUUCAUUUAUUAUGUCUCUUGGUAUUCCAUGACCUGCAGAAAACUAAACUUAGUUUCUUGGUUUGCCUUUUAGUUUUGUAAUAGUAAUGAAAGCACUUAAGAAGUACAAUCUUGAUGUCUAUGAUUAAUCCAAGAUUAAUAGUAUGUGGAAGAAGAGUUCCUGUCAUUCUCUGGUCCAUGCAUUUGGUCUGCAACUUAAAAUAUCAUGAGCUCAUGGCCUCUUUUCUACCUUCCUUAAUUCUGAGAUUCAUACUAUGCCAACAGACUGUUAACAAUAAUGUUAGCUAAAGAAUGCUAAUUUGUCCUGAGUGUUAGUUAAUUUCUGACUGUCCUUAUAGUAUUCAUGGUGUAAGUUGGUAUAUGAUUUCACCUUUUUUAAGGUUAAUUGUCCCUCAGACACUAUGACUCUGUAAAGUCACUCCAUCAUCCAUGUAUACUUUGCUCUCUCUGUAUAUGCAAUCACCAAAUUUUCCAGGUUCUCAUGUUUAAAUUCAGUUGUGGGAAUUUCCAAAUCCACCAGCCAAGUACACUAAACAAUUUAGCUGUGUAGCACUGACUACCAUGACAAUGAACAUGAGAGAUUCUGAAGUUCUUUCCUGAGGAUCACCCUCCUGAAACCUAAGUAAACACAAGAUCCUAGGACCCAUUGUGUAAGUUUUUGAAUGACUAACGGGGCAAUAGGUGUUCCUACAAGAUGAAAAAGACAAGGAAAUUUCAUCCCUUAAACUAGCAGAGUUACCUUUUUAAAGACUUGAGGUUUUCACUAUUACUUGCCAAAAAAUGACUGUUAGGUUGCUUUAACUUUGUAAGGUUACUUUAUUCAUUUAGUCCCCAAAUCCCUAGCCCUUCAUUCAAUAGUUUUUUUUUUUUUUUUGGAAACAUUUUAAGUUUAUUUGUUUAUAAUCCUGCUUCAUUACAGAAAUGAUCAGAGGCAAUCACUAUGUGUAUGUUUAACCUUGGCAAAUAGUUGUUAAAUGAUACUGAGCUAACUUGUAAAAUGAUCUAGAUGAUUGUGGUAGGUUGUAUAGUUGUUUUCUAACUUUCUAUUUUGAAAUAAGUGUAGGUUUUUAGGAAGUUGCAAAAAUACUAUGGAGUGAUCCGAUGUACAUCCAGUUUCCCCCCAAUAGCUACAUCCUUCAAAGUUAUAGUACCCUAUCAAAACUAGAAAACAAUGUAUGUGUGUAGUUCUGUACCACUUUAUUAGAUGUAUAGAUUCAUGUAAGCACCACUGCAAUUAAAAUAGAGACUAUUACAUCAUCACAAAGAUCUCACUCUUUAUUGUCUUACUCCCCCCCUCUUCUCUCCACCAUCUCUAAUUCCUGACAGUCACUAGUCUGCUCAUUAUAAUUGUGUCAUUUCAAAAACAUUCUAUAAAGUAUUAUUUUUUUAAACUGAUGAACAUUUUAAAAGUUAUUUCUCGGGGCACCUGGGUGGCUCAGUUGGUUGAGUAGCUGAAUUUUGAUUUUGACUCAGGUCAUGAUCCCCCAGUCGUGGAAUCAAGCCCCGUUUUGGGCUCUGCACUGAGCAUGGAGCCUGCUUAAGAUUGUCUCUGUCUUUCUCUCUCUCACUCUCUCCUCCACUUACACACUCUGUCUCUCCCUCUAAAAUAAAAAGUAAGUACAUAAAUAAAAGUCAUAUCUCAUUUGUUAAUUAAAACACUCAAAAUCUGGGAUAUCUCAAACAUACCAAGAUUUUUGUUCAUAUUAAACAAUGAUGAUUAGUAUACAAAUUUGUUUUGGGAUACCAUUUUCAAUCAUUUUUUGUUUAAUCUACAUAUGUGUUAAAUUUUUAAGGUAUCUUAAAGGAUGAAGACUUUCUUGAUGAACAGCAUCAGCAUUUUCUGUUGAUAAUAGCAACUGGCAAAUAAAGACUAUAAUGACACUGCUGUGCAGUGUGACUCUUCCAGUAGGCCCUGGAUUUGGUCUAAGACUUGCUUAAUUAUGUCUAUCAGGUCACAAUCUAUGUAAGGAGCACAUAGGCAACCAGUUGUCCAAUGGAAUGUCAUUCAGCAUAACAAGGAGGAAAAAAACACUAAGGUAAAAGAAAAGUGCCAAUACAUGCUUAUAAAGAGCUAAUAGAAAGUGUGUGAUGUUACCUACACUGGUGAUACCAAAAGAAACAAUGGUAACUAUUAUAAAAAAUAACAUGUGUAAAUUUUAUUCUUUGAUUAACCAUACUAGGGUAGGGGGUAGAAAGACAGGGAAUGAAGACUUUCUGAAAAAAAGUCUACUGAAAGAAAUUACUUGACCCAUUUAUCUGAAAUCAAAACUAAGAAUCCUAAGUUUUACAAGAUCAUCAAAUGUUCAGCUACAUUUUAGGGUAGGUGUGUAUUACUGUUUAACAGAUAAAGAAGAUGGGUUAUAGUCUACCCGUAACUUGUUACAUACCUUAAAACAUACCACUUUAAGAGUCAUCAAUUUAGAGGGAAGAUUUGAAUGGCAUCAAGACUCUGUUUCAGUCCUGCCCUACACCACAUCUUUAAGUUCACUAAGAUAAAAAUAUUGUUGGACUUAUGAUUAGUUUUUUUAAAGAAAGCAAGAGGACAGAGUCUUACAGUACAUGAAUCAAGGCUCCAGUAAAAUCUCAGUAACCCUAGUAAGCCAAAAGGAUGGGCAAGGCUGGAUAUAAUGAAAAUGAGUUGAUAUAAAUGUAGAAGUCCAGCAUUGGGGAUUAGACAGCUACCUGUACAAGGACCUCGUAGGGACCUGUGACUUGUCAUCAGCAAAUGUGGAAAAAGACUCGAGGCUUGUCCUAACCACUACCUUUGCAACUCACAGAGUGGCAUGAUGGUAAAACAAAACAAAACAAAUCACUAUAUAUACAAUGACAUUUUAUUAAUAUAUGAUAUGUCCAGAAGAGGAGAACACAUUGUCCUAUUUUAUGUUGGUCAGACUUUCCAAGUAGUUUUGUGUCUAUUUCUAUAGAGAUAUAAGUAAAGUAGGACAUGUCUAAAACAAUGUGGCCAUUUGGUAAAGGAGAUUCAAAGAGGUUUUGUUGAAGAGUAGGAUGCAUUUCUGACUUCCAACAAUAAAGCACCAGAAUUAAGAUAGGGGUUUAGAUUUGAACCUUGAUGACCUCAAGGCAUAACCUUAACCAAAGUUAAAGACACACAGAAGUAGAAUUCAACACACCACAAGAAAAAACUUUUUAGCCAUUUUACAGAAUCCAAAUAUUUGGAGGCAAUGGGUUCAUUAUUGCUGGAGACACUCAAGAAGAAAUUUCAGUAGCCACAAUGGGUGUGUGUGUUAUAGCAAUGAUCUAAGCAACAGAAAUGUUACAAUAUCUUCAACCCUGAGAGUUUAUUAAAUGUGUAUCAACAAUUCCCAGGUGUACCACUUACCAAUUUCUUGGCUAUCACUUCUCUGGGCCUCAGUUUCCUCCUAUUCAAAGGACAGAGAGGUGAUAGUACUCACAGAGCUGUUAGAGAGAUUAAAUGAGGUUGAAGAACAAUAGCAGUAACUUGAUUCCAAAUCUCCUCACGACAUUCCCAAAAUAACCUUACAAUCAACAAGAAGAACAAAUAAAACUACACAGGAUCUAUGACUUAAACAUUGUUAGGGAACAGAAAACACUGCAACUUUCAAGUCACUUAUGAGAAAAAAAAAGUCUGACAAAGCUCCCAAUACCUGCAAACCAUCUCAGUGAACCUGUAUGCAUAGAGAGGUGGGGUGAGGGGCCAAUAGGGGGAAGUGAGACCUACAAUAAAUUAUCAAACACACAUUGGGAUUUGGUGAUUCGCAGCCCUGGCUACAGGGAAGGGGCUUGAAAAUGUUCAAGGCUUAAAGUAGCACCCUCAGAGAGGCAGUGAUUCUUGGGGAGGAUUAUAGAGAGAGAAAAGAGAUUGUACUCCUUGGAUAAGAGGUGAUGGAGGGAAAGAAAAGGAGAAAAUUGAAGGUCUUGCUGGGUAAGAUUUGUUGAUUGUAUCAAUGUCAAUAUUAUGAUUGUAAUAAUUGUGCUAUAGGUUUCCAAGAUGCUACCAGUAAGGAAAACUGCAGAAAGAAUUAAUGGGAUCUCUUUGUAUUAUCUUUCACAAUUUCAUGUUACUCUUCAAUUAUCUCAAAAUAAGUUUUAUUUUAAAAACUUAUUCUAUUUUCAUAAGGUAAAAAGUGGACAACAUGAAACCAUAUUGUUUAGAAAUUUAUAUUUAGGUGGUAAGACUAAAGAAAAGAAACUAAUUGUUAUAAGUGUCAGUAGAGUGGUUUCCUCUAAAAUGGGAGAAAGAAGUUGUCACUGGAAAAAAGUUUGAGGUGGAGGUGUUUCCUAACUUCAUGAUUGUUACACUCUGCAUAUGCUUUAAAAUACCCCAUUAAGUUCUCCAUUUAUGUUUUUUAAAAAACUUACAAGAAAAGGUACAGACCACAGACCUCCAGGCCAUAUUUGUAAACCACACUGUUCUAGGACACAAAGAAAACUUUGAUAGUUUCCAUAACAUGAAAUACUAAAACUGAUUUGACCACAAUACAUUAAAACUGGAAAAUAAAACUAAACAAAAAAUGAAAGACAUCUCACUUGGAAAUUAAAGAUUUUUCAUGAAGUAAUUCUUGGGUGAAAUGGGAAUAAAACAAAAUUAAUGUAUUUCUGAAAAAAUAGCAAUAAUAAAAACACUAUAUACCAGAAAUUAUGGAAUGCACUUAAAGCAAUGUAAAUAAUUUGUAACCCUAUAUACCAAGAUCAAUAAAAAUGAAAGAAUAAAAAUAAUUAAAUUCCCAACUCAAAACACUGAACAAGGAACAAAAUAAGUAAAUCAAAUGAAAUUAGAAGAUGGGAUUAUUCGAGUUAAAAUCAGAAAUCAAUGAAAUAGAGAAUGGAAAAACAGUAGGUCAAAUUAAUAAAAAUCCUGGUUCAUUAGAAAAAUAAACAAAAAUAGACAAACCACUAGCUAAUUUAAUCAAGAAAAGAAGGAGAAAUCACAAAUAUACAAAAUGAGUAAUUAUAAGUUGGGGAUAAUUAUGAUGCAAAAGAAAAAAUUUUAAGUCAUUUGCCCUUAUGCAAAUCAAGUCAAAAGCCUAGAGGAAAUGGAUAAAUUUUUAAGCAAAUAUAGUGUACCAAAACUGAUCCCAGUAAAUGUAGAAAAUUUGACCAGUUUUCACAAAACUGGGAACAAAUUUCUAGCUACCCCACAUGAUAGCAUCAAGCCCAGAUGAUCAUACAGGAGAAUUCUAUCAAACCUUUAGAGACCAGACAAUCCUAAUGAUACAUAAAUUGUCUCAGACAAUAAGAAGUCAAGAAUGACUUUUGACUUCUUUUUAUGAAGCCACAUAUAACAUGGGUAUCUAAACCUGAUAAACAUAGUACAAAAACCUGUAGAUCAAUAUAAUUUAUGAGACUGAUAUAAAAAUUUUUAAAUAAAGUACUACUGAACUGACUCUAACAACACAUUAAAAAAUACAACAGAAUCAAAUAAGGUUUAUACUAAAUGUAAAAAUGCUUAAUAUUAGAUGACAAAUUAAUUUACCAUUGUAAUGUCUAUGGGUAAAAAUGAUAUGAAUUUCUUUAUAUGUGUUGAAGAAUGACUUUAGCAAAAUUAAGUAUUCAUUCCUCAUAAAAACUAUCAGGAAAAUAGUAAGGAAUGGCUAUUUCCUUACUUAACAGGGAAACAUUAGAGGGAUUCCCACUGAGGUCAGUAAUAAAGCUAGCAAGCCCACUAUCUCCACUGGUAUCUAGCAUUGUCUGAAGGUAAUAGUCAAUACAAUCAGAUGGGAGAAAACAACCAGAGGUACAGAAGUAAUAAAUCUACCUCUGUUUGCAGAUUACAUGAUAGUAUACAUGGAAAAUCCUAGAGAAUCAAAGAUAAAAUGAAUUCAAACAAUAAAAUAAUAAGGUAGCAUGAUAUAAACCUAACAGGUAAAAUCAGUAGUAUUCAUAUGCACAAAUAGUAACCAGCUAGAAAAUAUAAUGAAUGCACAAAACCAUUUACAAUGGCAACAAGAAAUAUAAAAUAGGAACAAAUUUCACAAGAAAUGCUCAAAAUCUGUAUGAAAAAAUCUGUUAAAAUACUUCUGUAAGACACAGAAACAGGCUUAAAAGAAUGGAAAGACAUCUCUUUUUUGUAUGUUUUAUUUUAUUUUUUGAGAGACAGAGCACAAGCUGGGGAAGGGCAGAAAAAGAAAGAGACACAGAAUCAGAAGCAGGCUCCAGGCUCUGAGCUGUCAGCACAGAGCCCAAUGCGGGGUUUGAACCCACGAACACAAGAUCAUGACCUGAGCAAAAGUCGUACACUCAACUGACUGAGCCACCCAGGAGCCUGACAUCUCUUAUUCUUUAUUAGCAAAUCUCAACAUCAUCAAGAUGUCAAUUCUAAGUUAAUUUUCAAAUGUAAUCUGAUCCCAAUAAAAAUUCCAAUGGGCUUUUUUAUAGAGCUAGAUAAGUUGGCCUUAAAAUUCAUAUGCAAAAUAAACACACAGGGUCAGAGAGGUGUGGAGAGAUGGAGCAAAGGAGAAGUGAGGUAGAGGGGUAGUGUGAAAGAUUCAAAACAUGAGAAUGGUUGACUAGCCAUUGCUGUCCUUGAAGACAGAGAAAGGGGGUUGUUGGCCAAGGAAUGGAGGCAGAGCUUAGAAGCUGAGAACAACCACCAGCCUACAGCCAGCAAGGAGACGAAAACAUCAUUUGCACAACCACAUGCAACUAAAUUCUGUUAACAAAAUGAAAGAUCUUGAAAGCUAAUUCAUCCUCAGAGCCUCCAAAAAAGAAGCAGACUUAAGGACACCAUGAUUUCAACUUUAUGAAAUCAGAGCAGAGAGCCAGCCAAGAGAACCCAACAUAUCACCUAUAGAAACAUACAAAGAUUGAAAUGAACAAAACAACAAAGUCUUCCAGUGAACAUGAAUAAAUGUGGUGUGUUCUGGAUAAAAAAAGAAUUGUUAAGUUACAUGGAAGUUCAUCUAUUUUUAAAACGUGAGAAUAGUCAAGAAAAUUUUUAAAGAGUAUAUUGAGAGAGACUUGCUUUGCCAAGAUAUUGAAAAAUUUUCAAAGCUACAAUAAUUAAAAUGGAUAGUACUGUCUCUGGAAUAGACAAAUACAUCACUGAAACAGAAAAGAAAGCCUACAUACAAAAUUAUGUCUAUGAUAAAGAUCACUAUAAAUGAAUAAAGAAUAAAUUAUUCUUUAAUUAGUACUAGAACAACUGGUUAACAGAAAAAGAGUUAGAUCUUCACCUCAUACUGUAUAGCAAAAUAAAUUGUAGCUGGAUUAAAAAGUUAAACAUUUUUUAGGUCAAAUAGGUGAAUAUUUAAAUAAUCUGAAGAUGAGAGAAAAUCUAAGCAUUACAGGAAUUUUCAAAAUCCACAAUACAAAGGGCUGAUAUAAAUAAAGAUAAUUAAAACCUUAUGCAUCAAAAUAUGCCAAACCAAAUAUGGAAACACAUAACAGUUGGGAGGAAAUAUCUGCAAAAUUUAUGACAGUGAGAGGAUUAAUAGACAUAAUAUGUGAGACACUCUUAAAUAAUUAAACAAAGACUUUAAUAGAAAAAAUGGGAAAAUAUAUCAAAUGAAAAUUCACAAAAGACAUUAAACUGACUGAUAAAAUGCUUAAAAGUUUCAACAGCAAGAAUAAUCACAAAGUUUUCUAAAAUGAAAGUUCUUUAGCAUUGAGGGCAAUCUCUUCUGAUUGAAAAGUUAAGCCUUCAUGAAAUGGUCCAUUGGCUUUUCAUAGACACAUAGAAUUUAGUGUCUAAUUUGGUGUGAUACAUUUUUUGAGCUGCAUUCUCAUUUUCUUUUACUUUUAUUUUUUGAGUGCUUUUUUUUAAAGCCUUGGACUGUGUCAAUAGAGUGUAAAAUUCUGUUGAUCAACUAAAAUAUGUGGUGUGAGUUUGAGAUUACAAAAUAUCUUCCACAAUUAAUGAGAGAAUCGUUCUCUUUUUGAAGGAACUGUAUGGGGAAUAUAAUUUUUUAAAUGCUAAUUUAUGCCAGAAACAAAAGAAAAUGUACUAUGAUGAUAAACAUAAAUUCUAUAGGAUCCAAAAUUUUUUUUUCUUAGACAGAGAAAGCUUGCGUGCAUGCAUUGGGGGAGGGGCAGAGGGAGAAAGAGAAUCUUAAGUGGCUCCAUGCCCAGCACUGAGCCUGACACAGGGUUCAAUCUCACCACCAUGAAAUCAUGACCUGAUUUGAAAUCAAGAGUUAAACACUUAACUGACUGGGCCACCCAGGCGCCCCUUUUCUCUGCCUUUUUUUAAAAAUAGGAUCUGAAUUUUUAAGGCAUAAUAGAUCUUCAUGGAACACUGGGGUCAACAGAUAUGAUUUCUUGAAUCACAGAUUCGAAGCAGGUGAAAAUUGAUCAUAGUUUUACUUACUCUAAUUUAAAGUAGCAUGCUUUACCACGAUAAAACAGGGCUGGUUUAAUCUUCUCUGGUUUCUUUUAGGGGGCAUGUCAGUAUAGAAAUAAUCCCAAGGCAGAAACAGUGGGCUACAAUUUUCUUGAGUUAGUUUUGGAACCAUAAAUACAUACAAUAGAGGAUUCUACUAAUUCAAAGAGUGAUGAGAUAAAAGAUUGUUUUCAACUGUAAAGUCCAGAAGAAGAAGCUACCAGAACACGAUGAUGGCAUGGUUUUCUUUCCCCCUUGGUGGGAUGGAUUUUUGAUGAGAGAUGAAAAGUAAGAAGAAUGAGAAGAUACUACGAACCAGGCAAUAAAAUUAACUUCUUUUCAA